rnacentral:miRNA from 1 species
AAAAGUUCGUUCGGUUUUUCU